rnacentral:rRNA from 1 species
UACGGGGGGGGCAAGCGUUGUUCGGAAUUACUGGGCGUAAAGGGCUCGUAGGUGGCCAACUAAGUCCGACGUGAAAUCCCUCAGCUUAACUGGGGAACUGCGUCUGAUACUGGAUGGCUUGAGUUUGGGAGAGGGAUGCGGAAUUCCAGGUGUAGCGGUGAAAUGCGUAGAUAUCGGGAAGAACACCCGUGGCGAAGGCGGCUCUCUGGGACGGUACUGACGCUGAGACGCGAAAGCGUGGGGAGCGAACAGG